rnacentral:rRNA from 1 species
GUCUACGGCCAUACCACCCUGAACGCGCCCGAUCCCGUCUGAUCUCAGAAGCUAAGCAGGGUCGGGCCUGGUUAGUACUUGGAUGGGAGACCGAAUGAGGGUUCAUAGUAACCUCAGGUA